CUUGAAAUUGAAGUUAAAAUUUUGAAUGCAGGUGUCAAACAAAUUGGAGGAGACAUGUUUGAGAGCAUUCCUGAAGGAGAUGCCAUUUUCAUGAAAGUAAGUUGAAAAAUUCCAUAUAUUGCUGACUAAAUUGGUGUUUGAGGAUGAUAUAAUGAUAUAAUGUUGUUUCUGUAAGUAUAAUAGCAUUACAUGCCCGUGUCCGAAAAUUAUCGUGUCAUGUCGGACCAUGACUCUCCAAAAUCCAACAAGCCAUGUGUCGCGCCACAUUUUUCUAUUUUUAAAAUUUUUGCCGGUGCAUCUUAGGAUUUCAAGUAUUCAUCUCUCCAAAUACUUAUCUUACUGUUUAGGUCAAAAUAAAAGCUAGAAUAUUUGUGAAGAAGAAAACAAUCCAAACUAUAUGUAGAUUUUUUUUCUCAUAAUUUUUAUUGACAAUAUGAUGCGCAGAUUGUUUAUUAGUCUUGAAGAUAUUUUUAUCUAAAUUAGGUAACCAUUCUUGACAGUGGAUACUUCAUGAUUGGAGUGAUGACCACUGUUUGAAGUUGCUUAUGAACUGCUAUAAAGCUAUACCUGAAGAUGGAAAGGUGAUUGUUGUUGAGAAAAUUCUCUCAGUCGAACCUGACACUAGUAACACCGUGAUUAGUAAGAGCCAAUCCGAUCUAAUUUUGAUGACUCAAUAUCCAGGGGGGGCAAAGAGCGAUCAGAAGUCGAGUUUCUUGCAUUGGCAAAGGGAGCUGGCUUUAGAGGCAUAAGGUCAAACUGUUCCGUGUGCAACUUUUGGGUCAUGGAAUUCCAUAAGUAAACUGCUGGAGUAGAAUGUGGCGUGUGUUUCCUGUUCAAGAACUUCAAUUUUCAUCUUGUUAUACCGGUUUAAGUACUUUGCAGCUGUGGAUUUAAAUAACAUAUUUCAAGUUUGUUGUAAUGAAACAUAACAAACUUUCAAGGUUGUUAUGU
rnacentral:lncRNA from 1 species